rnacentral:rRNA from 1 species
UACCAGCACCCCGAGUGGUCGGGACGAUUAUUGGGCCUAAAGCAUCCGUAGCCGGUUCUACAAGUCUUCCGUUAAAUCCACCUGCUUAACAGAUGGGCUGCGGAGGAUACUAUAGAGCUAGGAGGCGGGAGAGGCAAGCGGUACUUAGUGGGUAGGGGUAAAAUCCGUUGAUCCAUUGAAGACCACCAGUGGCGAAGGCGGCUUGCCAGAACGCACUCGACGGUGAGGGAUGAAAGCUGGGGGAGCGAACGGG